rnacentral:rRNA from 1 species
CCUACGGGAGACUGCAGUGGGGAAUAUUGGACAAUGGGGGGAACCCUGAUCCAGCCAUGCCGCGUGUGUGAAGAAGGCCCUCGGGUUGUAAAGCACUUUCAGUGAGGAAGAACGCCUGGUGGUUAAUACCCAUCAGGAAAGACAUCACUCACAGAAGAAGCACCGGCUAACUCCGUGCCAGCAGCCGCGGUAAUACGGAGGGUGCGAGCGUUAAUCGGAAUUACUGGGCGUAAAGCGCGCGUAGGUGGCUUGAUAAGCCGGUUGUGAAAGCCCCGGGCUCAACCUGGGAACGGCAUCCGGAACUGUCAAGCUAGAGUGCAGGAGAGGAAGGUGGAAUUCCCGGUGUAGCGGUGAAAUGCGUAGAGAUCGGGAGGAAUACCAGUGGCGAAGGCGGCCUUCUGGACUGACACUGACACUGAGGUGCGAAAGCGUGGGUAGCAAACAGGAUUAGAUACCCUUGUAGUC